GCAGGAACACGACACCUACCGGUGAAGAAACUAUACCAGCUAUUUUGUUUCACUGGUUAACGUACAUCGUCCGCACACAUAUUGGUGGACAACAGUGCAAGUACCAUUAAUCUUUUCUCUUGACAUCCCCCGGCUCUUAGUACCAACAGGAGAAGACGCAGAAAGGCACUGGAAUGAAGAUGCUUUGGGGCUCCCUAUUUCUAAUCCUCCCAGCAGUGCUUUUCACCGCACUGGGUGAAACCAUUGUUGUCCAACCGGAAGCAUCGGAUUCGUCAAAUGUAGUAGUCCCAUCAUCAGGCUCUGCGUCCACAAUUGUCAUCAAAAAAGAGCCACCGAAAGUGGUUGUAAUUAGCGAAGAGCCAUCUCCGGUUAUCGUGAAAGUUCGAUGAUGGUCAUCGAACCUCAUAGAGACGACUGUGAUCCAGCGGCAUCAAGAUGACUGCUCUCCGACUGGACAACGCUGCACUUGACGCCGGAACGACAAUGAGAACACAAAGCAAGGGCUUAUCCACUUCGCGCCUUUGGAGGAAGAGAUAUUCCACCAACUAUAGUUCUGAUAAUGGACAUGGCGCUUCCUAACUGUGUCUAAAGUUGCCCUGAUAAUAUCGGAUUUGUAUAAAUGCCCAAUACUUUAUGGCAGUUUGACGACAAUUGUAGCAACCACCACUACGCACUUGAGCAGCCUCUUCUCUAAAGACAGACCUUGUCGAGCGAGGUGGCUCGGCAUGCCUGCCGAUCAUGCGGCUUCUCCAUAAUGAAUACAGUCCUACUAAAAUAAACAGAUCAUAUGGUCUAUUACUGAUUGCCUUUUUGAAAGGAAGGAACCGUAUGCCGUAAAAUGUGAGAGGAAAUUCUUCUUGGAUAGUUCUUUGUAAAAUGUCCCGAAAAUAAAAU
rnacentral:lncRNA from 1 species